rnacentral:lncRNA from 1 species
GACACAAAAAAAAAUCCACAUGAAUUUUAUAUUAAUAAAAUUUAUUCAAAUUUCAUGCUAAUUCUAAUAAAUUAAUACAAACCCAAGCAUAAUUAAUAUUUAAUGUUCAGAAAGGAAUCACAACGCAAAAAAUAAACUCUUAGUUCAACACAAAUUAUCAAACUAAAAACAUAUAUAAAUUCAAAUUACAUAAUGACUAAACAAUCCAAAAUUUAUAUACAACAGUAAAUAUUGUUUCAAUUUUUACAGCAUUAUAUCAAUUUAUCCAAAAAAUAAUUUGAGAUUACAAAUUUACCUACAAAGGUAUUUGAAACCAACUGGAGGUCACUAGAUCUGAGCAUAGUUGCUUCAGUGUGUACAGCUCACGCAUGUCCAUGGCUGGCGGUGCUAGCAGUCACCCUUUGGUGAUCUUAACGGACUGAGACCCACUGGAUCUAGUAGAUCAUUAACUACUCUUUCUACUUUGAUUAGUGGUGAGGCAAAUAGAGUUCUUAGGAGAUAGAUCUAACCACUUCAAAUUUCAGCUCUUACUCCUCUCUCUCUAUUUUGUUUCUCCUUUAUUGGCAGUUGUUGUCGUCACUGGUGGACGAAGAUGCGGUGAGUCUAGUUACUGGGUUGUUCUAUUGAGAGGGAGAUCACUGGUCACAAGCCAGAGUGUUUUGAUGGAGCAUGGUCGGGCUGCUGUAGAGAUUGUUUUGGCUGAGAGAAAGAGAGAGUCGUUGUCGUGAGGAAGAACUCGUCACUGCUGCUGGUGUUGAGGGUUUGGGAAAGGAAGUUGCUCACGGUGGUUGAGGCUGGUUGUUGAGUGAAGGAAAAAUGGUUGUCGGUGUGUGCUGAGAGUUUUUUUUUUGUUCUUUUAAGCGGCGACUCUUUACUUGGCUUUUUUAUUGUUAAGGGAGCCUCUAACGUAUUCUCUUUAUUGGCUAAUGCGCCCCUAAAAUUUUCCUCUCUUUUUUUGUGUGAGAAUCCUUCACUAUUUUAGGUAAAAUAAUUUUUUUUUCUUAAAAUUAUUUAGUUUCCAAGCAAACUUAGUAAUCAAGUAAUCCAAAAUCACUUCGAUCUCUCUGUGUUUUUUUUUCUUUUGGUCUUCUUUUCCAAAUAUAUAUUUUUUUUUUGAAUAAUCAUCAAGAGUAUAUUGAAAAGGUCAUAAAGCCAAUAGCCAAAACAAAAUACAAGGAUAUGACAAAAAAAAAGAACAGACUUAGGGGGGGAAAUCUACUACAACAAAAAUAAAGAGAUUACCUAAGAUUUCUUAUUACACCACAAUAUGAUGCCAUUAGAAGAUCUUAAGAGGUCAUUUCUUGUAUAAAUGAAGUUUGAAUCCAGAGUAUGCAACUAAAUAACAACUCGAUGAAGGAUGGUAGAGAAACAAUCAAACAAGCUCAUAGUUCGCUCCUCAAAAACAAUUUUGUUCCUCAAUAACCAAAUACCCCAAGUAGUACUACUAGAUAUUAGUUUCUAAGUUAACCUUUAGAAUUUGCCUUGCACAAUUCAAAUUUUUUGUUUUUUUUUUUUUUUGAAAAGGGCAAUGUCAAAGACGACUCAAUGAUAAAAAUAAAUUAAUAACUUUGAAAUGAGUGCGUAAUAAGUCAAACACAUCAAAAGUAGAUUUUUGAAUUUUAAAUUAUUUUGAAGAGACACUAAAAAUGCCAAAAACAACACAAAUACAUCAAAAAUAAAUUGUUUGUAUUUUUUGUUGUUUUUGCUAUUUUUUGGGUUUUUUUAAAAAAAGUAAGAAAUAAAGGGUAAAAAAUCUACUUAUGACACCAAGAUUGAACUUACAGUGGCAAAGAAAGUUGAGAGUUACAGAACUACAACCUCUACACAUUCUUUCAUCUAUAUGCUCAAAAGUUGUCUUAUUGUAUGAUCAAAUAAAUAGACGGUGUUGGAAUUUUGACACAAUAGGUAAUUACAUAGUUAAAUUUGAAUGUAUCACCAUUUGCAAGAGACUAUUCCCAGGUGUGUUUUCGAUCUCUUCAUUACUAUGAAAAGGUGUAGUAUAUCCUAAGAUUCAAGCUUUUCUUUGGCAAUUGAUGCAUGAAAAAUUAUGUGCCAGGGAGUUCUUAGCCUCUAAACAUAUCAUAUCCCAUCAACAAAUGACUUGUCCAUUUUGUGACUAUAAAACAGAAUCCUCCAAUCAUUUGUUCCUACAUUGUUUGGAGCCAUGGAAACUAUGGAGUAGAUUUAUGAUUGGCUUAGGAUUUAGUGGUGCAUGCCAAAUUCAAUUGAUCAUGUCUUGUAGUAGUGAGAUCAUUUAGAGAUAGGGAAUUUUCAAAAACAAGCAAUUUCAUCAUUGUCUUAUUUGAUUAUUUGAGGGAUCUUGGUGACUAGAAAUUACAUGGUGUUUUAGAACAAAUAUCCAGAAAAAAAUAGUGUUUUUUAUCUUAUACUUCAGAAAUUAACUCUUUGGUUAAGGUCUAUAAACAAGAACUUUUUUUAUACAGGUCUGGAUCUAUACAGGGGCCCCAAAGGCAUCUUCUAAUGGACAAACUAGAUUUUUAAAAGUCUCACUAUUUAAGUUUUUCAAUUUGGUAUAGAGCUUUUUUUAUUAUUAUUCGUUCUUCUCUCUUUUUAUAUACACAAACAUAACUUUUCUUUUUCUAGUUAGCCAAGUAUUUUUGGCACUAGCUUUUAUAUAAAAUCUCGAUGAUGAUGAUGUGAUUACAAUAUCUUAUUGAAGAAUCGCCCAACAUAAUAGUUCUUUGAACUUAAAAUUUGUAAAAACUCACAAUUAAUUUGUUCUUCAUUUUUAUUAUUAUAGAAUGUACUUAUAUACGAAAUAUUAUAGGCAUACUCUUAUGUUGUAAUCUCCACCAUUACUACUGUAUAUUGCGCUACAUAUAUUUAUUGAAAAUAUUGGCUAACCAAUAGGUUAAGCCUCCUAAUUAUUCUCAACUUGGUAUCAGAGUUUUCUGCAAUCAGAACUCUCUCUUUCUUCUCCAUAUGGACUCUAUAGUUGUUGCUGCCCCCCCCCCACCACACUGGCAGUACAGUCCAGCCGACCAACCAAUUAGAAGUUGUUGCAGAUUGUUCUUUU